GGGCAACGGAGGAUAAAGCCCUUGCUCCGGCAGGCUGCUGAUUGGCUGAGACAGGUCCCACCUCCUGCCAUCAGGAGGGUGGGGGACUGAGGGAAGGGUCUCUGAUGGCAGGGAGAGGUACCAGCGAGCUGAGCUAGCCCAGGACUGCCCCCUCCUGGCCUGGUCAGAGCCCCCCACCUGGAAGCUCCAUCUCCGUGGGGGGCCCUGGCCUCGCCCUUUCUCUGCCUCCAACCCCCAGGGCGGCCGCAGAUGGCAGCGUCUCUGGGGACAGCAGCUGCGACUCAGUCCACAGGCCGGCGCUGCGCUGCUCGGGCCAAGGCUGGCCCCUGCAGGCUGUGAGGCGGACGGGACGCGGGGCACCUCCCUCGGCCCUCACGCCCGAGCCUCGGCAGCAAGGCCGCCGCGAUGCUGCACUUCCUGACUGUUCGUGCCUGUCUACCUGGUCAUCUCUGUCCUCAUCCUCAUGGGCUUC
rnacentral:lncRNA from 1 species